GUGUUAUUUGAGGGAUGGGGCGCUUAGCCAUUAGAUCCCUUUUAAUGAGCUUGUGUGGCUGUGAUUCUUUUAAAUGUUUUAACCCGUUUCAACACUCCAGACCCGAAAAAAUAAAACACCCGAUCGAAACAAUAAAACACGCGAUGGCUGAAGAAUAAGGCACGCACGAAGAAGACGAAGAGCCCACCCUUCCAAGACGAAGGAAGAGCUGCCAUCUCGAGUUGAGCGUGCCAGAAUUCUAUGCCAAUCAGGUUUUUAAUGGAGUAAUCUUGUUCGUUUAUGUCAAUCUCGAAGUUGGACCAUCUGCUGUACUUUGGAUUUAACAUCUUUGGUGGUGUUUGUUUUGCUAUCAUGGAACUUCUCAUUCAAGUGAUCAUGUUUGUAUUACUUUUUGGGUUGGAUAUAAACUUUUAUGUUUAGAUGAUAGUUCUUGGGGCCAACUUGUGCAAUUUAUUGAAGUUAAUAAUCAAUUUAUGGAACACCUGCUCUCAAGCAAUUCUAUGUGAAAAGGCUAUUUGAAUACAAGGCCAACCUCUUUAUCUCAA